GACGAACGCUGGCGGCGUGCUUAACACAUGCAAGUCGAACGGAAAGGCCCUGCUUGCAGGGUACUCGAGUGGCGAACGGGUGAGUAACACGUGGGUGAUCUGCCCUGCACUUCGGGAUAAGCCUGGGAAACUGGGUCUAAUACCGGAUAGGAGCCAUUUUUAGUGUGAUGGUUGGAAAGUUUUUUCGGUGUAGGAUGAGCUCGCGGCCUAUCAGCUUGUUGGUGGGGUAAUGGCCUACCAAGGCGGCGACGGGUAGCCGGCCGGAGAGGGUGGACGGCCACAGUGGGACUGAGAGACGGCCCAGACUCCUACGGGAGGCAGCAGUGGGGAAGAUUGCACAAGGGGCGCAAGCCUGAUGCAGCGACGCCGCGUGGGGGAUGACGGCCUUCGGGUUGUAAACUCCUUUCGCUAGGGACGAAGCUUUUUGUGACGGUACCUAGAUAAGAAGCACCGGCUAACUACGUG
rnacentral:rRNA from 1 species